GGAGAGGUGUCCGAGCGGCCGAAGGAGCACGACUGGAAAUCGUGUGUACGCAAAAACGUACCAUGGGUUCAAAUCCCAUCCUCUCCGCCA
rnacentral:tRNA from 1 species